rnacentral:rRNA from 1 species
GAGUUUGAUCCUGGCUCAGGAUGAACGCUGGCGGCGUGCCUAAUACAUGCAAGUCGAGCGAACGGACGAGAAGCUUGCUUCUCUGAUGUUAGCGGCGGACGGGUGAGUAACACGUGGAUAACCUACCUAUAAGACUGGGAUAACUUCGGGAAGCCGGAGCUAAUACCGGAUGAUAUUUUGAACCGCAUGGUUCAAAAGUGAAAGACGGUCUUGCUGUCACUUAUAGAUGGAUCCGCGCUGCAUUAGCUAGUUGGUAAGGUAACGGCUUACCAAGGCAACGAUGCAUAGCCGACCUGAGAGGGUGAUCGGCCACACUGGAACUGAGACACGGUCCAGACUCCUACGGGAGGCAGCAGUAGGGAAUCUUCCGCAAUGGGCGAAAGCCUGACGGAGCAACGCCGCGUGAGUGAUGAAGGUCUUCGGAUCGUAAAACUCUGUUAUUAGGGAAGAACAUAUGUGUAAGUAACUGUGCACAUCUUGACGGUACCUAAUCAG